GACGAACGCUGGCGGCGUGCCUAAUACAUGCAAGUUGAGCGCUGAAGGUUGGUACUUGUACCAACUGGAUGAGCAGCGCACGGGUGAGUAACGCGUGGGGAAUCUGCCUUUGAGCGGGGGACAACAUUUGGAAACGAAUGCUAAUACCGCAUAAAAACUUUAAACACAAGUUUUAAGUUUGAAAGAUGCAAUUGCAUCACUCAAAGAUGAUCCCGCGUUGUAUUAGCUAGUUGGUGAGGUAAAGGCUCACCAAGGCGAUGAUACAUAGCCGACCUGAGAGGGUGAUCGGCCACAUUGGGACUGAGACACGGCACAAACUCCUACGGGAGGCAGCAGUAGGGAAUCUUCGGCAAUGGACGAAAGUCUGACCGAGCAACGCCGCGGGAGUGAAGAAGGUUUUCGGAUCGUAAAACUCUGUUGGUAGAGAAGAACGUUGGUGAGAGUGGAAAGCUCAUCAAGUGACGGUAACUACCCAGAAAGGGACGGCUAACUACGUG
rnacentral:rRNA from 1 species